UUAAAGGGAACUUUUGAAAGUGGUAUUCCAAAGGCCAUUGAAUCUAUUACGAAGCUUUUCAACCUUGUUCUCUUGAGAUUCAAGGCAAAUUAAAUGUCCUCCAGUUCGCGGUUUUCAGAUGAUGCAACAGUAUGCCCAACAAUCACAAACUACGAUUGUAGUUAAUUUUCAUUCAAGAUUCGGGACGUUCGGAAGCCAAUUUGAGAGACAAAAGCAUUUCAGAGUAGGAUUUUGCUAGGAUUGAGAUCUAGAUACUUCUGGUCACGAUGGUUGCUGAUUGAGGAGUCAGACUCAAGAGACUAUUGAGGUAGCUGCAUAGCGUUCGCUGACCUUGAUUCUCCAUUCCUUUCAUGUUGUAUUGUUCUAUAUUUCUAGACAGUGUUUUAUUAGUCGGAUGUUGUUAUCAUUUAGAUGCUCAUGUACUCAGUGAC